rnacentral:rRNA from 1 species
UAGGGAAUCUUCGGCAAUGGACGAAAGUCUGACCGAGCAACGCCGCGUGAGUGAAGAAGGUUUUCGGAUCGUAAAACUCUGUUGUUAGAUAAGAACAAGGAUGUUAGUAACUGAACGUCCCCUGACGGUAUCUAACCAGAAAGCCACGGCUAACUACGUGCCAGCAGCCGCGGUAAUACGUAGGUGGCAAGCGUUGUCCGGAUUUAUUGGGCGUAAAGCGAGCGCAGGCGGUUUCUUAAGUCUGAUGUGAAAGCCCCCGGCUCAACCGGAGAGGGUCAUUGGAAACUGGGAGGAUUGAGUGCAGAAGAGGAGAGUGGAAUUCCAUGUGUAGCGGUGAAGUGCGUAGAUAUAUGGAGGAACGCCAGUGGCGAAGGCGGCUCUCUGGUCUGUAACUGACGCUGAGGCUCGAAAGCGUGGGGAGCAAACAGG